UCGGCGGUAGCCCGUGCCAGCGGCGCCGUGUCGCAGAGCGCCCUACAGCCGGUGGAAGACCCGGCGGCGCCUGCCCCCAUCACAUCGAUCUGGGGGAGGAGGAUAUGGAGGCCCCCGUCGCUGGCCGCCUCAGUGCGGACGAGAAAGAGGUCUCCUGUUUUUGCGAUGGGUGUUGUUCGUCGCCGCACUGGUGAGUUGCACAUGGCGGACCACACCGGGGAUUUCUUCGCGCCGUCGUCUUGCCGGUAUGAUUUUCUCCUUGCCGCCGCUGAAGAAGACCAUGCUGAAGAAUCCCUAACUUCCUUAAUUAUCAGUGUCACGGCCUUCCUCCACAGCUUUGGCACCGGCGGCGACUCGUGGAGCAGAGGAACCCAGUCCUCCUCCACCUUGGGCAUGGGGGCGUGGCUGAGCAGGACACUGAACGGAACCAAGAGGGCUUGGCGGAGGAGAGGCCGGCCCGGGCUGCACAAGCCCAUGCGCUCCACGUCCAAGCUCAGGAACAUCUCUGUCUGAGAUGUACUCCGCGUUCAAGGUUGGCGGAGCAGUGGCCGGUCCGGCUGAUCUCCAUCAUAUCUUACUGCACGCAUCAGAGGCAUAGCAGCUGAAUAAACAUACUUAUGCUUUUUGUUCUUCUCCAGGAUCUGAGUCGCUGCUACAUUUUCUUCAGUCCAUAAACCUGAUAUCAACUAUAAACAAUUCCCUUUUCAGCAGCCAUAAAACUUGCGACAAGCAGCGAUGGCUCAGUGAACCCUCAUCAGAGGGUUGUGUUUGUCAAGACGGCCACUCUAACAAUAGUGUAGUAUAGUAAUCACCUAUCUACCAGUAUGCAAACUACUACAACAGGUUUCAAUUCAAGUGUUGCAUGACAGCUUCUGUCUUCUCCUUCUGUUUAUGAUCUUACUUUGUUUAUGUUGCUAAAUAUUUUUGUAGGUCACCUGAUAAAUGUUCAGUUGCCUUCUUACAGUCUACUUGGUCCGGCAGAUCAUAAACAUCGAGUUGCUUAUACCGCGUGUUGCUCUGGUGGAAGGGCGUUCCUUCCUAUUUACCCCAGCUAGCCGUCUCCUAUGGCUGAGUUAAUUCAUUUCUCAUGGUGGUGUUUAGUCAAAUUGAUUUACGUUAUUUCCAUGAUUUGCUUUAUAUAGGUGGGACUAGGUUUCAGUUCAUUCUCUGAUUGUGUCAUGUUCUACCGUGGAGUUUCUUAUGGUAGCAGCACUACCCGUAGUUUAUUUUGAUGGUUAACUCUGAGAUGUAAAUAUUAGUGAUGAUCUGUACUGAAGCUUUCUUUAAUCAAUCAGUCUAUGAUGUUUAGUCA